GUGCACAAAGAAGCAGCUUCUACGAAAUGCCAACUGGAACAAAAUAACAAUGUGAAUGAUGGCAAGAAUCUUUUCUUCUAGUGUGUGCAAGGGAAAUAUUUUUCUAGUAGUAAUCCACAGUGUCCGGUGUUACAGUGAAAUGGUCUUCUGCAUACGAUUCUGCUGCUGAAUUGGUAUGCAUUAUUCCAACAGCCACUUC
rnacentral:lncRNA from 1 species